rnacentral:rRNA from 1 species
AUACCGGCAGCCCAAGUGGUGACCCUUUUUAUUGAGCCUAAAACGUCCGUAGCCGGUCCGGCAAAUCUCUGGGCAAAUCGGGCAGCUUAACUGUUCGAAUUCCAGAGAGACUACCGGACUAGGGACCGGGAGAGGUCAGAGGUACGUCGGGGGUAGGGGUAAAAUCCUGUAAUCCUCGACGGACCACCGGUGGCGAAGGCGUCUGACUAGAACGGAUCCGACGGUAAGGGACGAAGGCUAGGGGCGCAAACCGGAUUAGAUACCCUAGUAGUCC